rnacentral:rRNA from 1 species
CGCCCGUCCCGCCGCCCCCGCCCGCCUACGGGAGGCAGCAGUGGGGAAUUUUGGACAAUGGGCGCAAGCCUGAUCCAGCCAUGCCGCGUGCGGGAAGAAGGCCUUCGGGUUGUAAACUGCUUUUGUCAGGGAAGAAAUGGUCUGGGCUAAUACCCCGGAGUGAUGACGGUACCUGAAGAAUAAGCACCGGCUAACUACGUGCCAGCAGCCGCGGUAAUACGUAGGGUGCAAGCGUUAAUCGGAAUUACUGGGCGUAAAGCGUGCGCAGGCGGCUUUGCAAGACAGAUGUGAAAUCCCCGGGCUCAACCUGGGAACUGCAUUUGUGACUGCAAGGCUGGAGUGCGGCAGAGGGGGAUGGAAUUCCGCGUGUAGCAGUGAAAUGCGUAGAUAUGCGGAGGAACACCGAUGGCGAAGGCAAUCCCCUGGGCCUGCACUGACGCUCAUGCACGAAAGCGUGGGGAGCAAACAGGAUUAGAUACCCUGGUAGUCCACGCCCUAAACGAUGUCAACUGGUUGUCGGACGGCUUGUCGCC